UUUUUCCUUUUUCUUUCUUUUUUCUUUUCAGUGAAAUGCAAGAUUGUUGUGAUAGUGGCAAAGGCACAAUGGGAAUUUGGAGAACUUCAGAGAGCUGAGCCAUCGCUGAGAGUUAUCUAGGCUCACAAAUAUAACAGCAGUUUCUGGCAUCAUUGCAAAUCCUGCUUCAGCAGCAAAAGUGUCUUAGAAGACUUCCCCCCCAGCUUUCUAAAAUGGGAUAAAGGGCGCAGACAUGGACAUGCUCAAGUGAACUACCUGCACCUCAGACUUCCCUGUUCCUUGAACUGUGCCAGUCUGGAGGCGACACAUGGACUAGUACACAUACAGCCUGAGACUGGAAACCUGAGCAAAGAGCAAACCAGCUUGACAUCAUGGGUACUCAUCAGCUUGGCCAUGAACUCAAGCACAGAGGGAGGGAAGUUCUAACCUGCAGCAGGGCAGCACCAAGAGGCACACGGAGGCUCUUAGAACAUGAGGCUGAUUCUCGCUCUGCAGCCUGCACAAACAGAAUUUACUCCUGAGCAAGCAGACAAAAGAAGGUCACGG